UACGAAGGGCGCAAACGUUGCGCGGAAUUAUUGGGCGUAAAGCGCACGUAGGCGGCAUUGCAAGUCGGAUGUGAAAUCCCUCGGCUUAACCAAGGAAGUGCAUCCGAAACUGCAGUGCUUGAGUACUUAAGAGGAUCGCGGAAUUCCCGGUGUAGAGGUGAAAUUCGUAGAUAUCGGGAGGAACACCAGUGGCGAAGGCGGCGAUCUGGGAAGAUACUGACGCUGAGGUGCGAAAGCGUGGGGAGCAAACAGG
rnacentral:rRNA from 1 species